rnacentral:rRNA from 1 species
GGAGGCGCCCAAAGGUUCCCUCAGCCUGGUUGGCAAUCAGGUGUUGAGUGCAAGUGCACAAGGGAGCUUGACUGUGAGACUGACAAGUCGAGCAGGGAUGAAAGUCGGGACUAGUGAUCCGGCGGUACAUUGUGGAAUGGCCGUCGCUCAACGGAUAAAAGGUACCUCGGGGAUAACAGGCUGAUCUUGCCCAAGAGUCCAUAUCGACGGCAUGGUUUGGCACCUCGAUGUCGGCUCGUCGCAUCCUGGGGCUGGAGUAGGUCCCAAGGGUUGGGCUGUUCGCCCAUUAAAGCGGUACGCGAGCUGGGUUCAGAACGUCGUGAGACAGUUCGGUCCCUAUCUGCCGUGG